rnacentral:rRNA from 1 species
ACGCUCGACACCUACGGGUGGCAGCAGUGAGGAAUAUUGGUCAAUGGGCGCUAGCCUGAACCAGCCAAGUAGCGUGAAGGAUGAAGGCUCUAUGGGUCGUAAACUUCUUUUAUAUAAGAAUAAAGUGCAGUAUGUAUACUGUUUUGUAUGUAUUAUAUGAAUAAGGAUCGGCUAACUCCGUGCCUGCAGCCGCGGUAAUCUGAGCGGGCUGGCAAGGC